rnacentral:misc_RNA from 1 species
GAUGAAGAACGCAGCGAAAUGCGAUAAGUAAUGUGAAUUGCAGAAUUCAGUGAAUCAUCGAAUCUUUGAACGCACCUUGCACUCCUUGGUAUUCCGAGGAGUACGCCUGUUCGAGUGUUAUGAAGCUCUCAAAACGCAAUUGGCUUAAAACCUGAUUGUUGUUUUGGAUUUGAACUUUGCCGUGUUAUAACGGCUGGUUUUAAAAGUAUUAGCUGGUACUAGAACGAAUUGGUUCUACUCAACGUGAUAAUUAUCUGAUCGUUGAGGACAUUCCUUUCACGAGGAAUGGCCAUAGUAAAUUCAAUGGACUGCUUCUAAUCUGGCUUUAAUUCUUUAUUGGAUUAACCACUUUUCAAGUCUGACCUCGAAUCAGGUGGGACUACCCGCUGAACUUAAGCAUAUCAAUAAGCGGAGGA